UUCAUCCAGAGAGCUCACAAUUGAUGGUAGGUUUCUGCCUACCUCAGAAGCUUCUUCGAGGGAGCUCAGGCCUCCUACAGAAGAGAAGAUGGUUUUUGGUGCUCAAAAGGUCUUCAGAUAAGGCUGUAUGGGUAUCAUACUGCUGGGCCGAACAGUGGUAAUGGGCCUAGCCGUGCUCCUAUCAACUCCCCCCACCUUGAGAUCAAUCUUGUCCUCAAGAUUGAUGUGGGGAAAUUCAUGCUUCAAUCAAGAGUAUUCCUCCCAGGUGGCUUCUUCUUCCAGCAGGCUGCUCCACACUACCAAGGCUUCUUCUAUGUAGUACCUUCCCUUGUGUACCCAACAGAAGUCUACCAGCUUGUGGGGCUCCAUGACCAUGACUCCCUCAUCAGUGAAGGCUGGGAGGGUUGCCUGAGUUUUGUCCCCUUGACCCACUUGUUUCUUGAGUAGUGAUACAUGAAAGACGGGGUGGAGUUUGGAGGAUGGUAGAAGUUCUAGCUUGUAGGCGACUGACCCGAUUCUCUCCAAGACUUUGAAGGGUCCAUAAAACCUGGGAGCCAGUUUCUGCCAUGCUCGCUUGCUACUGAGGUUUGUCGGUAGGGUUGGAGCUUCAAGUAGACCAUGUCUUCAGGCUGAAAUUCCAAGGGAUGGUGCUUGCAGUCAUAUGUAUCCUUCAUUACCUGCUGAGCCCGCUGCAAAUUGUUCUUAAGCUCCUGCAAGAUUAAGUCUCGGUUGAUGAGGUAUUCGUCUACUGCAGCUACAGUAGUGGAGCCUGUCUCGUAGGGGAGAAUGGCAGGGGGGGUCUCUCCCAUACAAGGUCUUGAAAGGUGUCAUACCGGUAGUCACAUGGAAGGUGGAAUUAUACCACAGUUCUGCCCAAGAUAACCACUUCAACCACUGUUUUGGCCUCUGCCCAGCGAAGCACCUCAAAUAAGUCUCGAUGCACCUAUUAACUACCUCUGUCUGCCCAUCAGACUGGGGGUGAUAGCUCGUGGAAUGAGCUAGGUGUGUCCCUUGGAUUUUAAAGUACUCCUGCCAAAAUCGUCCCAUAAAUAGAGGAUCCCGGUCAGAUACGAUGGAGGCUGGUGUUCCAUGCAGUUUUGUGAUGUCUCUCACGAACAGAUCUGCUACCUGUGCUGCUGUGAAUGGGUGUGACGAGGCUGAGAAGUGGGCAUAUUUUCUAAGUCUGUCUACCACCACCAUGAUCACUGUCUUGCCUUGAGAGGGUGGCAAGCCGGUGAUGAAAUCCAUGGUGACAUCGUCCCAGACCUGAUUUGGUAUCUUAAGGGGCUGAAGGAGCCCAGCUGGUUGUUGAGUAUCAUAUUUCUGCUGUUGACAGGUUGGGCAGAUGGCCACAAAGGCCUGCACAUGCUUCCUAAUUCCCCUCCAAUAGUAGUGUGCCGCAAUGCGCCGACAAGUCCUUAGUACCCCUGAGUGACCGCCUUCAACAUAGGAAUGAAAUAACUGUAGAAGCUUCCUUGUGUGUGAGGACAUUGAAGGUAAGACUAGUCUCCCCUUACAGUACAAGAGGAGUCUUCAUGAUGUAGCCCAGUGUUUCGGUUGGUCCUCGGCCCAUCUUCUUUUGAUAGCCGCCAACUCUUCGUCGUUCAAUAUCUCCUGUUUGAGUAGCUCCAAUAGUGGGUACACGGGUCUAGAUUCUGCCAUCAACUGUAAUUCAUUUUGUCUUGACAGGGCAUCUGCUACCCGAUUAGAAGCUCCAGUUUUUUAUUCUAUCAAAUAAUCCGUCUUUCACUAGUAUAACUGGGGAGGAAUAUAGACUAUUGUUGGGUUGUAUGAACCCCUUUUGUAGGAGGUCUUGGACUAAGUGCUUGAUUUCUUGGUGUUGAUAGUAUGGGUACCGGUAGGGCUGUACAUUUGCUGGUGCUGCCCCUGGUACAAUGGGAAUCCGAUGGUCAUGAACUCUCUCGGGAGGGAGCCCUUGUGGUUCUUAAAAGACAUCAGGGUACUUGGCCAAGACUGCUUGCAGUCGUGGAUCUGGACUGCCCAUCCUACCUUCAUUGAUUGUGGGCUUCAGAUGUGGGCCAGGAGUCCAGGCCCCUAAGAGCAUCAAGGUGGGCCGGUUUAGGUCCCAAUUGGUUUUGAAUAUAGAGCUGAGGGUAGCUGGUUGUGGAACCAACAGCCUGGAGUCUCUUAGAGUUAUGGUGCAAUCUCCCCUUUGAAAUUCCAUGGUCAAUUUGGACCAAUCACAAACCACCCGACCCAAUUGUUGCAACCACUGUACCCCAAGCACGAUGUCGGCUCCACUGAAGGUCAAUGUGUACAGAUCAACGCAAAAGACCUCCCUUGGAUGACUAGCUCCAUGUCUUUACAGACCCCUUCACAUGGUAUCUAACUUUCGUUGGCAACUUGGACAUUGAACUUAGAGGUAGGUCUAAUGGUCACCCCCAUCUGGAUGGCCAAGUCAUCUGAAAUGAAAUUCAUGGUACUCCCACUAUCCACCAAAAUAGAUACCUCCCAGCCCUUCAGUCUACCCAUGACACGCAUGGUUUGGGGCGACGUGAGGCAUGUGAGGGCCUGCAAGGAAAUCUCGGGCGGGCCAAGCCCAAAUAUCAUAUCAAGGUUAGUUGGGUUGUCUUCUUCAAGGCCCUCCACCGCCUGCUCUCCCUCUUCCGGCCCAUCUGUCUAUAGCAAGAAAGCCUGUUGGGCCUUACAUCGGUGACCUAGGCCGAACCGUUCGUCACAGUUGUAACAUAGGCCCUUGUCCCUACGGGCCUGCAUCUCGGCCCAUGUCAGCCUUUUGUAGGGGACGUUGGGCUUGAAGACUUGGUUCUCUAGUUUAGCGGGCCCAGUAGUGACUGGGUCUGGGCCGCUUCUGUCUUCAGGGCCACACUCCAACAUAGGUGUCUUCAAGAGGGGUCCCUAAAGACGACUCAGUGGUCUUAUGAUUCUGUCGAAUUUUUCUUCAUAAAGCCAGGCCAGGCCUACAACAGCCAUGACCGUCGGGGGUUGCAUGGAUUUCACCUCCACUUGAAUAUCCUCCCUCAACCCUCCGAUAAAACUGCCCAACAGAGCAUUUUCCGACCACCCCUGUACCCUUGAAGAUAAACACUCAAAUUCCACCUGAUAUUCUCUCACUGUACCAGUCUGUCUUAACUUAGCUAGUUGUUCAUCGUAGUUUUCGAAUCCAGUGGGUCCAAACCGCACACAUAUAGCAUCGGUGAAAUCUGCCCAAGUCACUUAGGGAUGUGAUCGGCGAAACCACUAGAACCAGAGAAUUGUUUCUCCUUCCAGAUGGAUAGCGGCAAUUGAAACCCUCUGAUUUCCUAGUAUUUCAUGGUACUCGAAGCACCUCUCAGCCCUAUAAAUCCAUAGUACAGGGUCCUCACUUGAGAAGUUCAGGAAGGUGAUUUUGGUCUGCCACAACACUCCAUUUCCUCCAGACCAGUUGCUGGGCUGGCUGCUACAUUCUCCUUCGCCUUCUGUGUUCUCGCUGACAGUCGCCUUCUCCAGCUUGGCCAAGACCAUUGAUAGUGCCGCCUUGAUCUCAAUGAUAUCUCCUUCUAGUUUCUCGAUACGCUCAUCACUAACGGACACUCUCGUCCCCACCAUGGUGUCAACCCAAGAUUGGGCUCUGAUACCACUUGGUAGGUUUCUGCCUACCUCAAGAGCUUCUUCGAGGGAGCCCAGGCCUCCUACAGAAGAGAAAGGAAGAGAAGAUGGUUUUUGGUGCUCAAAAGGCCUUCGGAUAAGGCUGUAUGGGUAUCAUACUGCUGGGGCGAACAGUGGUAAUGGGCCUAGCUGUGCUCCUAUCAAUUGAGGUGGUAGGAGAGUAAAAAUGGCAGGUUACAGUCAAGUCCUUUUAUAAAGCUCUGGCUUGAAAUCAAGUGGAAAGACAUCUCCUUGGAGGUCUUUGGGGCAAUCCAAUUCUUCCUAGAGUUGAAGCAUUUGCUUAGCUGGUUGCCAUGGACAGCAUACUUACCCAUGAUCACUUGUUGAAAAGAAAUUUUUAUUUGGCAAGUAGAUGUGUCCUUUGCGUGUCUGAAUCUGAAGAUGUAAUUCAUCUGAUGGUUGAUUGCAUCUUUGUUAGAUGUAUUUGGAUCUUCUUCUUUCGACACUUUUAAGGUGGAGGGGUGGGCUCCCCGGUCACCUAAGGAAAUCUUUAAGCAGUGGCCAGCAAUUGAUGGGGGAAAGAAAGAGGGUUUGCGUGUUGACAUUGGAUCAAGACUGUUGGACUGGAUGCUGAUUCUUCCAAAUUUUGAGGAUCCCAAAACAGAAGAUUUUGGUUCUGAUUUUUGGAACACUUUGGAUCUAUGCUAAUUGUAUUAAGAGUGGUUGUUUUGUUUGUUUUUUAUUCUUUAUUUUGUGGUUUUCUUUGUAGCUACAAGCGAUGUGCCUUGUCACCCAGCCCCUUUGUAUCUACUUUCUUCAUUAAUGAAAUAUCUUUUUUUAUUUAUCUUCAAAAAAGCAUGGAAGAAUAAGAAGUUGAGCGUUGUGGCUGGGUAAGUGCGGAAACGGAAUACUAGGGUAUAAAACACAACACACCACGUAUGAGUUAAUGUGCAAAGCUUGGUUGACAAUACAACAUUUUAUUCGCCAAAUAAAAGGGGGAAAAUAGUGUGGAAUGUACAAGAUUUGCCAUUAGCUGGACUAUAUGGGAAGGAAGGAACCUUAGAACUUUUUCAGACAAGGAGAGCAGCAGUUAUUGAAGCUAUCACCAUCAGAGUGUUCCAUUGAAUAAAGUUCUUGGAUUUAUUUGAUGACAUACCAACGGCUGAUUUGUAUAAAAGCUGGAAGGAAGUGGGAGGUUUAGUACCUUUUAACAAAUCCCAGUUGGUCUCCGCCAGUUAAUGGUUUAAUCAAACUCAUCGUUGAUGGUAGUAGUGCAGGGAAACUGGGUCCUUUAGGCAUAGAAGGUGUUUUCAGAAACAAGGAGGGCAGAACAAUUGCUCUUUAUUCAGGUCCAAUUAAUGUAGAUGGCUCUCUGUAAGGGCUGAGACAAGAUAUGGAAAUAAGACAAUAAUGGGGUUAGAAAGUGCUAAUUCUUUUGCUGAUGUACUGGCCAAACAAGGAGUGGGUAGAGAGAAAAUGUUUGGUGCUCUACUAUAACUUGUUUGAGAGUUUAAAUGGGGAGAGUUAAGAGAGCUUGUCACUCCCGUUUUCCAUGCCUCUUUGUAUUUAAUUGUUUUUAGCUUAAUAAAUUUUCACAGUUAUUGAUAAAAAGAAGUUUAUAUUUGUGAUAAUGAGGCUAGUAUGUACAUUGCUUCUAAUCCAUUUUUUUAUGGAAUGAAACAUGGCAGAUUUGGUUGUCAUUGUGUUCUUGAGAAGCUGCUUGACAAGGAUGUACUACUCCAUAUAUCUUCUGACAAUUAGUUGGCAGAUUUUUUUCCCUUUAACUAAGCUUUUGAUUCAUCCUUAGGUAGAUUUUAUUUGUUGGAAGGAUUAUAUGAUACAUAGUCACAAUCUCAAGGGGAUGUGUUGAAGUAUAUGUUUUGAGUAUUGGGACAGUUUUGUGAUUUACCAAGAGGCUUUUUGAUCAAGGUUUAAAAUGUUGAUGUCGGUGGAAAUAUCGGUCAUACAAAUAUAAGAAACAUGUGGGAAAUGUCGGAAAUAU